ensembl:lncRNA
UUAAAGCAGCCAGAGUAUCCCUGUUUUUUUUGUUUUGUUUUUUAGAUCUUUUUUUUUUCAGAAUUUUUUUUUCAGGGUAGAUGGAUGAGGUAGGAUGGAGUGGGAGGUGAAGGAAGGUGUUCUUACAGGUGUCUAGUCUCAGGCACGUUGAUGUUGACGUCCUGGAUAGUCUCCUUUUUCUUCUCUUCUCUCUCCUAUGUCUUUGUCUCCUUGUCCUGGAGCUUGUGCCUCAUUUCGUCCAUCUCCGUCUGCCGGUCUUUUUUUUUUUUUUUUUUUCCAGAAUUUUUUUUCAGGGUAGAUGGAUGAGGUAGGAUGGAGUGGGAGGUGAAGGAAGGUGUUCUUACAGGUGUCUAGUCUCAGGCACGUUGAUGUUGACGUCCUGGAUAGUCUCCUUUUUCUUCUCUUCUCUCUCCUAUGUCUUUGUCUCCUUGUCCUGGAGCUUGUGCCUCAUUUCGUCCAUCUCUGUCUGCCGGUCUUUUUUUUUUUUUUUUAAGUACAGGCAGAUGUUUUCAAGGACUGUUUUGUUGUCCUCUAAUUCUGGGAUCCUGGUGAUACGGAUCUAAUGUUCUUUGGGGAUGGUAUCCUCUGUUUGUUGGAUCUUAGAGAUCAGGCACAAUACAGUGAACCCACUGCUUGUGACCAUCUCUUGGUGGAUAUCCUCUUGGCUCUUUUUCAAAUUCAAAGAUUUUAUUGUCAAAUAUACCCCCCUUGUGUAUUGAAAUUCUUAUGCUUGCCUUUUCUGGACAGCCGACCAAUUUUAAAAUAAAAAAAAUAAAAAUAAAUGAUUUACAUAAAUGUACAUGAAAUAAAAAUGAGGCAAAAAUGAGGUAAGUGAAAAUGUGCAAAACUGAGCAGGUUGUAAAAAAAAAUGAAAUGAAAUGGGUGAAAUAUAAAUUAACAGUACAGUUAAUUAAAGCCGACCAAUUAAAAAAAAAAAGAUUUUUUUUUAAAAAAUAAAUGUACUUGAAAUAAAAAUAAGGCAGAAAUGACGUAAGGGAAAUGUGCAAAACUGAGCAGUUUGUAAAAAAAUGAAAUGAAAUGUGUAAUAUAAAUCAACAGUACAGUAAAAGUGAAAUAACAAGCUGAAGUUCAGAC